ensembl:misc_RNA Metazoa_SRP Metazoan signal recognition particle RNA
GCUUGAUGUGGUAGCAUGGGCCUAUAGGCUGAGAUGGAAGAUCUCUUGAGUUCAGGACUUCUGGGCUGCAAUGUGCUAUGCCGGUUGGGUAUCUGCCCUGAGUUUGGCAUCAAUACCAUCACCUCCCAGGAGCUGGGACCAUCAGGUUGCCUAAGGAGGGGUGAACCAGCCCAGGUUGGAAAUGGAGCAGGUCAAAACUCCUGUGCUAAUCGGUAGUGGGAUCUCGUCUGUGAAUAGCCACUGAACUCCAGCCUGGCCAAUAGAGUGAGACCCUGCCUCAG